rnacentral:rRNA from 1 species
GAUCUUGCGACAAUGGGCGAAAGCCUGACGCAGCAACGCCGCGUGCGGGAUGACGGCCUUCGGGUUGUAAACCGCUUUUCGGGGGGAAGAGGAAGGACGGUACCCCCGGAAGAAGUCUCGGCUAACUACGUGCCAGCAGCCGCGGUAAAACGUAGGAGGCGAGCGUUAUCCGGAUUUAUUGGGCGUAAAGAGCUCGUAGGCGGCUUGUCGCGUCGACUGUGAAAACCCGCGGCUCAACUGCGGGCCUGCAGUCGAUACGGGCAGGCUAGAGUUCGGUAGGGGAGACUGGAAUUCCUGGUGUAGCGGUGAAAUGCGCAGAUAUCAGGAGGAACACCGGUGGCGAAGGCGGGUCUCUGGGCCGAUACUGACGCUGAGGAGCGAAAGCGUGGGGAGCGAAC